rnacentral:rRNA from 1 species
UACGUUCCCGGGCCUUGUACACACCGCCCGUCAAGCCAUGGGAGUUGGGAGUGCCUGAAGUCCAUAACCGUAAGGAGUGGCCUAGGGCAAAACCGAUGACUGGGGCU